rnacentral:misc_RNA from 1 species
GAUGAAGAACGUAGCGAAAUGCGAUAAGUAGUGUGAAUUGCAGAAUUCAGUGAAUCAUCGAAUCUUUGAACUCACAUUGCGCCCUUUGGUAUUCCUUAGGGCAUGCCUGUUCGAGCGUCAUUUAAACCUUCAAGCUAAGCUUGGUGUUGGGUGACUGUCCGCUUCACGGCGGACUCGCCUCAAAAUUAUUGGCGGCCGGUACAUUGGCUUCGAGCGCAGCAGAAACGCGAACUCGGGCCCGUCGUAUUGGCUCCCAGAAGCUAUCUUCACAAUUUUGACCUCGGAUCAGGUAGGGAUACCCGCUGAACUUAAGCAUAUCAAUAAGCGGAGGA